AUGCUGUGGUCGGCAGUGGUUCUAUGGCACCGCCGCGACCCUGGCCGACCGCCUACUCUUCAGGAAUGGGAUGCUGCCUCUGUAUGUAAGUGUGUCAAGGAAGUUCAUAUCAGAUGCCAGAUUGGAAAUGAUAUACAGGAACUAAACAAGAAACUGGAUACAAUCAUACCGGUAAUACAACAGUUAGGACUAGCUGCAGAAGAUCAAUCAGGAAUAGAUAGUGAAGUUGCUCCUCAUUACAAUGAGUCCAAUACAAUAGGUAGAGGUGUUGGCAGUGACUGCAAUGAUCUUGUUAAUCUGCUACGGAGAGGUGGAGAAGGCGCCCAUGUUCUUUUCGCCAUAGUUGGAACUAUUGGAGUUGGUAAGAGUACUCUUGCACUCAAGAUAUACCAUGAGAUGAGAGGUAGGUUUAGAACCAGGUUAUGGGUAAAUAUCUCCAACGACUCCAGACGCAUCACAAUAUGGUCUGGUGACACAUUUAAGAGAAGGGCAGGAAUGGCGGAGCAACGUGAGGUGUUACGCCGCUAUCUGGAUGGUUCUACCAGCAACCUGCUCUUGGUCAUUGAUAAUGUGCGGAAAGCAGAUGAUUGGAACCAGUUGCUGGCUGCAAAUGAAGCAUUCCGCCGUUGUGGCUGCAAAGUCAUUGUAACAACACGUGACGAGAAUGUCGAAAGGAAGAUGGGGGUGACCCAUUUUCACCGUGUCAAGUGUUUGAAUGGGGACGAUGGCUGGUUGUUGCUCCACAAAACCGCUAAUCUGGGAGGGACUGUAGCCACUGGGAACAUUCAGGAUGUUGGAAGAAGUAUCGUGCAGAAGUGCAGUGGCGUUCCGAUGGCAAUUAGAACAAUUGGAUGGAAUCUAAGGGGCAGGUCCCGGGAAGAUGAAUGGGAGAGCAUACAUUCACAAGAUUUCAUUUCCUCGUAUCCAGGGAUAAGGGACACCAUUGAUACGACGUACAUGGAGUUGAAGUAUCGUGUCAAGCGGUGUUUCCUCUACUGCUCUUUAUACCCGGAGCAAUUUGUGAUCAAGCAGCAGUGUGCCACACAGCAGUGGAUUGCAGAGGGUUUCUUUGAGGGCAGUCCAGAUUUAGAAGAGGCGGCUGAAAGCUGUUACCAGGAAUUAAUAGAGAGGGGUCUUCUUCUGCCUGAGCAUGAAGCUAAUGGUGUGGUGGGAGCAAAGAUGCCUACUCUACUGAGAUCGUUUGCACUCUAUCGGUCAGGCGAAGAGAACUGUGUGGAUAAUCCUAGUCGUAUCAGUAGUACCAGUAAACCAUGGCGCCUAUGCAUCACAGAUGAAGAAGCUAUAGAGGCCAUCCCGGUUUAUGUCACUCGUUUGAGGACACUCUUUGUGUCUGCAAGCCCACUCAGAAGAAGCAGCUUGGACCUUAUCAUUGAAAGGUUUCCGAACCUAAGAGUACUAGACCUUAGAGACACACAAGUUGAGAGCAUUCCCAAAACGCUGGGAAGAUUGCUGCAACUUAGGUAUCUGAAUCUUUCGAAUACUGAAAUAAGAAAACUUCCUCAGAGUAUCGGGAAUCUGAUGAUGCUGCAGUUUCUAAUCCUCCAAAACUGUCCUUACCUCACACAAAUGACCAGUCAUGUUGGCCGUCUGGAAAACUUGAGGGGCCUCGACUUCUCAGGGGCACCAAAGCUAAAUGAUGUCCGUUUCAGACUACUCAAACUGACAGAACUCAACUGCUUGCAUGGUUUUUUUCCAGCUAACCAUGGUUGGACACUUAAAGAAUUACAUGUACUGCGCAACCUUACAAGCCUCCAGAUACUAAGGCUAGGCAGGGCAUCAAGCAUAGAAGAUGCACACCAAUCAAGACUGCAGGAAAUGGAUAAUCUCAGAGAGCUCGAGCUGUGCUGCAGUUCUGUCGACCAACCACCAGUUGACGUUCAAGAGCAUAUGAAAGAUGUGUUCAGCGCACUCAGACCUCCUCAGAGUUUGUUUUCUCUCAAGCUAGAUGGUUACUAUGGCAAUGGAUUUCCAGCUUGGUUUUCUGUUUCUCACCUUACAGCGCUGCAGCGGCUGACGCUUGAUGGCUGUGUCCACUGUCAGCGCCUACCAGCUCUCGGUGAGAUGAUGAAUCUUAAAUUCCUGGCUAUCAUAGGCUUCAGCGUGUUGACUGAGAUCAACUAUGAGCUUCGUGGGGCGCCAGCAACCGGUGUGGCAUUUCCACUGUUGGAGCAGCUAUUCUUAGGGAGGAUGCAGAAUAUGGUGUCAUGGUCUGGUCUUGUGGAUACAGACAUGCCUUUACUCGAGAGAUUACAUCUUGAUGGAUGCCCCAGUAUGAUUUCUGUCCCCUCGUGGCUCCAGCACUGCACAACAUUGAAAAGCUUGAAGAUACACCAUGCUGAUGCGCUUCAAAAUAUCGAGAACCUGCUAGCACUUAAGGAGCUGCAAGUUCACCAUAGUUCCAAUCUGAAGAGGAUAUUUAACCUCCGUAGACUGGAGGAAUUGGAAAUCGUGAACUGUGCACACCUGGAUACUGUGCAGGAUGUUCCUCUGUUGCGCCUCUUGCAUUUGGACGAACCCACAGCCCAGCUUCCAGAAUGGCUCCAGAAGAAACAGUCAUUUACUCUCAGGAGAUUGGAGAUUAUUGGCAGUGAGGACCUACUGGACAGAUGCUCCUCACCCACCGCGCGCUACGGGCGCCUCAUCAAAGAUGCAGCUGAUCAUGUUUAUGCGAAAUUGCAUGGCGGUUCCUUGUACUUUUCGUACACCAAGAGCACUGGCAUGUUCGAUAGAAGCCGACGAUGCAGGGAUCGCUACGGUAUGCAAGGCGCAGCUAUCCUCGCGGUGCCUGUUGCUCCCCGGCGAGUUCAUGGUGGCUGGGAAACAUGGAUCAAGUACACACUUUGUGCCAUCUUCCUCAUUGUUUCCCAGUUCUUUGUUCAGUGGGCUGUUAGCUCUAGGUAG
rnacentral:rRNA from 1 species